UACGGGGGGGGCAAGCGUUGUUCGGAAUUACUGGGCGUAAAGGGCUCGUAGGCGGCCAACUAAGUCAGACGUGAAAUCCCUCGGCUUAACCGGGGAACUGCGUCUGAUACUGGAUGGCUUGAGUUCGGGAGAGGGAUGCGGAAUUCCAGGUGUAGCGGUGAAAUGCGUAGAUAUCUGGAGGAACACCGGUGGCGAAGGCGGCAUCCUGGACCGAGAUUGACGCUGAUGCGCGAAAGCCAGGGGAGCAAACGGG
rnacentral:rRNA from 1 species